AACAGAUUUACUUCGGUAAUGACGUAGGAAAGCGAGCGGCGGAUGGGUGAGUAACACGUGGGGAAUCUGCCCCAUAGUCUGGGAUACCACUUGGAAACAGGUGCUAAUACCGGAUAAGAAAGCAGAUCGCAUGAUCAGCUUUUAAAAGGCGGCGUAAGCUGUCGCUAUGGGAUGGCCCCGCGGUGCAUUAGCUAGUUGGUAAGGUAAAGGCUUACCAAGGCGAUGAUGCAUAGCCGAGUUGAGAGACUGAUCGGCCACAUUGGGACUGAGACACGGCCCAAACUCCUACGGGAGGCAGCAGUAGGGAAUCUUCCACAAUGGACGCAAGUCUGAUGGAGCAACGCCGCGUGAGUGAAGAAGGUUUUCGGAUCGUAAAGCUCUGUUGUUGGUGAA
rnacentral:rRNA from 1 species